rnacentral:sRNA from 1 species
GCCGGGUGUAGUGGUGCACACCUGUAAUCCCAGCAACUCAGGAGGCUGAGGCAGGAGGAUGGUGAGUUCAAAGCCAGCCUCAG